CUAAGUGUUGAAGAUAAUUUGCAAAAAAAAUUUAUUGAGGAAAUCAAAAUGCUUCUUUUAGAAAUCCAGGACAAACAUGAUAAACACUUUCAAAAACCAUGGGCUGGCCAAAGUUGGCAAUUGAUGUAUCCCAAUGAAGAAUUUUUUGUUCAAAAGUUCAAUGGAAAUAGGAAUAUAACCUCCAAAGAAAUGAGGAAUUUGGAAAAAGAACAUUUCAAUAAAUUUUCAAAUCAAAGCUCUCUUUGGACCAGAGAUUUUUUCCCGAUUUGCCGGGGUGAAGUACCAAAAUGGGCCAAAAAAACAUCAUAUUUGAGAUCUCAAAGAUGCUAUAUCAAACACUUCUCCAACCCAUUUUUAUUAUUACAACCAGCCAAAAUUGAGGUUCUUAGUGAGAGCCCAAUAUUAGUUCAAAUCCAUGAUGUUGUUCCAUUCUCUUGGAUUGACAAGCUUAAGGAACUGAGUAUACAGAAAGUAAGGGCAGAGUAAAGUUUUAAAACAUAGUGACAAAACGUGCCUGUUAGCUUGUAUAGAUUCUUUGUUUUCUCGGUAUAUUUUUCCCCACUCAAGAUGUCGCUUAUUAUAGUAACAUAGAUGACAUAUUGCUGAAAUCAAAGUUAUUUAUUAGGGUUGAUUGUACUGACCAUUAAUAAGUAGAUAAAUAUUACUUUGUAAAAAACAAUUGAGGGUACCCAGACCCUCUGAACUACGGCGAUUACGGUCUUAUGACACCACUUUAUCUUUUUCUGUCGUUUCUCCUCAUGGCGUCUGCAAUUUUUUCUUACCAUGCAGAACUCACCCAGUUAAAUCAAUUGAGCAUGGGCAAACUAUAUAUAUAGUAUCCUCAAGUUUGUGGUCUGACAGUCUGUAGCGUGUUAAAAAAUGGCGCAUGAUCAGAAUAAUUUUGAAAGCGCUCUCUAUUUGAGGAAAAAUACGUACAUGAUAUUUUUUAUAAAAUAAUAUUAUCAUCUAGGGAGUUCUUUCCUACUUUAUUAACAAGUGAAUAUCAGUAAAUAAGACUCAUGCUCCUAUGAAAAGAGUGAAUUCAUGUAGAUUGGAUAGUUAGCUGUAGAGGGAUAUUCAAGUACUCCUCGUCCCUAGUGAGAAAAAAAGAGUCGCUAAGAUCACUACUUUGUACAAAUAUUGAUCACGUGGUCCUCGUUUCACCACUUGUGGUAAAGCUUUGGGGCAGGGUUGUAUAUGUAUAUAAUACAUAAAGCUGACAGACAAUAAAUUUUGUUCACAGAUAGACAGAGCACAUGUAACGGACGAACAUGAAGGGACCAUAAACAGCUACGAUAGAACUCAAUCCAGUGCAUGGUUAGACGAUGAAGAAUAUCCAAAUCUACAGAAAAUAUCGAAAUAUUUUGCAACAGUUACACAACUGAGUAUUUCAGCAUCAAUCAAGGAUUUUCUUACGGUGGAAUCAGAGAAUUAUCAGAUUGGAUUAUAUUCCCCAGGGGGAGUGUAUCUUCCACAUAUGGACACUUUUAAUACGCACCAAGCUUUCCUGAAUUCCAACAAUGAUUACGUUGGUAACAGAAUAGCCACAUUGAUGCUCUAUCUGAGCAAUGUGGAUGGCGGAGGAACUGCCUUCACUGACAUAGGAAAAGUUGCCUAUCCUAGGAAGGGAUCCUCUGUGUUUUGGUUUAACCUUUUUUCUGAUGGUGAAAUAGACAUAAAUUUGACGCAUGGAGCGUGUCCAACAAUGUAUGGGGUGAAAUGGGUUUUGAAUAAGUGGAUUAGAUCUUAUGGACAAAUUUUCGACAGACCUUGUCAUCUACAAAAAAGUCAAAGAAUGAAAUUAUUUUAAAAAAUUGGGACGCCUGGAUUGUGCAACUAUAUUUUACUUAUUGAACUCCUUAAGGAAAUUUGAGGGCUACAUUUAAAUGGAUGAAUAUUAUGUCUUUUGUGAAUAAAAUUACAUAUUUAAG
rnacentral:lncRNA from 1 species